GAUGAAGAACGUAGCGAAAUGCGAUAAGUAAUGCGAAUUGCAGAAUUUCCGUGAGUCAUCGAAUCUUUGAACGCACAUUGCGCCCACUGGUAUUCCGGUGGGCAUGCCUGUUCGAGCGUCAUUUCAACCAUCAAGCCCCCGGCUUGUGUUGGGGACCUGCGGCUGCCGCAGGCCCUGAAAACCAGUGGCGGGCUCGCUAGUCACUCCGAGCGUAGUAAUACAUCUCGCUCAGGGCGUGCUGCGGGUUCCGGCCGUUAAAAAGCCUUAUUUACCCAAGGUUGACCUCGGAUCAGGUAGGAAGACCCGCUGAACUUAAGCAUAUCAAUAAGCGGAGGA
rnacentral:misc_RNA from 1 species